CCGGAACCCGAGGCCCGGCCUGGGGCGCGGCUGCUGGGCGCUAGGCCCGCGACGCUGAGGUGCGCGCGCCCCGGGCGGGAGGAGGGGCUGCACCGCCUGGCGAAUGGGAGGGGGACUGGCAGGCUCUCCCUUCCCAAGGGAGGUCGUCCUGUCGCCCUAGACUAAACCCAGGAAGGCUUUUAAAAGAAGCAGAGUCUCCGCGGGGGGAAGCUUGUUCCCUGAGAGGUGGCCGCAGACGAACCCACUGCUCAGUCUGGCAUCCCGAAGCCGCUCCGCUCCUGGCUCUCCCCGCUGUUCCUGCGCGCAGCGGGGGCAGUGCCCCCACACCCACGCGUGAUGGGAAGGCCGGCCUGGGGGUGGGAAGGCCCACCGAAAUAGAUGGUCCCCACACCUCACUGCUUCCUUGGAUGUGGCUAUUUUUUAUGCCAGUGUUCUCCUGCUCUGACCCUACUUGAACUUGACCGCAACCGGCCCCGCCUUGCAGGCCACCCUCCCGCAGCAGAAAACUGUGCGGAGCUCGCGCUGUCCUCGCCUCCGCUGACCCCACCUCCAUGUCCUCACAGACACUAUUUUUUCACAACACAGCUCAGAUCCCACCUUCUUCAUGAGGUUAUUCAACAAACACUAUUAAACUUGUAAGAUGUACCAGAUCCUGAGUUGGAGGCUGAGAGGAGGACAAGAAAACUGCUCCCGUAGCCUAGAGGGAGGGAGAGUCGCUUAAACCACCUGAUGCAGAAUGCUGAGUGCGGAGACCAGGAGGGAACAUCGGGUGGUGAUGGCCUCCAUGAUCCCCCAGAGAAAGGGUGUGACUUGAGUGCCUUCUUCCUCUGUGCUCCCCAGGGAGCAGCAGCAUCAGAGUGCUCCCAGGGUGCCAAAGGGACACACUGGACCAACUGGAGACCCUGGGCCCCCUGGAUUCACAGCUGACAAUGGAUUGAGGUGGGUAUAGAAGAAGUCAAGGAAAAGCCCCUGUCAUGAAGAGUUGGAUGGAGACAGGCACAGAGUGGCCGCAGGUCCAAGCAGAGUGAACAUGCGUCCAAACUGGCAGUGGCAGCCCCUAGAAGGGAGACACCAACAGCACCGAGAUCUGUGGUCUCCAGAGCUGACAUCUCCUGCACUUGCCACGUGCAGGCGCUGUGCGGGACCUCCUCUCCAUCCUGUGAGGGUCUCCCUGAACUCAGGGUCCCAAUGGAUUUCCUGGCCCCAAAGAGCCCCUGGGCACCCUGGGAAUGACAAGCUGCCGGGACACUCAGGCCAGAGAGGAAAGGUGGUGAGGGAGACCCCUGGCCACCAAUUCUCAGGAGGCCCCUCAAAUGCCAAAGCUGUCUGGGAGGCCCACAGAGACAUUUUCUGAGCAGAACAGAGCCUGCCCUAAUGCUGUCCACACCCACGGGCCGAGGCUUGAUGUGACCUUGUUCCUCUUCUGGAGCCCAGGCAUCUACCCUACAGCACCCACUGCACUCCCCCCUUUUCCUCUCAGGGUUUCCAAGGGGAGAGCAGCCCCCGUGGCCCCCCAUAUGUGGUGGGACCUCAGCUAGGUCUGUUCCCAGGAGAGAACGGCUCCCAGACCCUGGAGUUAAGUCUGUCUGGCUCUCUUCUCUCAGUCACACACCCCUGCCUCUGGCUCGCAUGUCUGGAACAGGUAGCUGGGGACUUGAGGGGGCUCAGAAAUCUCUCUUUUUAAUUUGGCAGCACGGAUGGCUGUCGCUCCUCACCUCUCCUUUUCUUUUAGGGUGUCCAUGGGGUUCAAGGGAAGGAUGUUCCUGGUCUGAGGGGCUUCCCAGGAGAGAGAGGCCUCCUAGGCACUGCUGGUGAAAAGGGCCCCAUUUGUCUGCCUGGCUGUGAUAGGGUGCAGAGUCCUGUGUGACUUCCUGGUCCUGCUGGGCCUCCAGGUGUGGCUGGAGAAGAUGGAGACCAAGAGGAGAACCCCAGAGAACCCGACCAAUCUUCUCUCCACAUGAGAGGGCUGAGGGCCCUCCUGGACCCCCUGGACUCACUGGUCCAUGGAACAGCCUGUAGCAGUGGGAGCAGAUUGGGAGCCCAGAGCUCAGGGACCCCAGGGACACUUUGGAGCCAGAGUGUGGGGAGCCAAAGGCAAUAAAGGUAGAACAGGAUUCAUGAAUCUAUAGGGACUACCUGGACCCAGUGGCACUGGUGUGAGUCAUCCCAGCCCCUGCCACUUCAGAGCAAUGAGGUCCACAAGAUCCCCUGGGAGGUGUUGGGGCCCUGGGUCCCCCUGGAGAGAAGCCAGGAGAGUCAGGAUCUCCAGGAAUCCAGGGUGAGCCGGGUGUCAGGGUCUUGGUUUUCCUGGAGACCCUGGCCCCCCAGGAGAAGGUGGCUCAUGACCAGGACAGUGUUAACGGUGACUAUGGCAAGGAUGGUGAGCCAGUACAGCCCGUGAGUGACCAAUGUCCCUGCCACCCCCACUGAGCUCCAGCCUUCAGCCCCUUACCCCUCUUUUCUGUGCCCUACUCCUGAGGGGUCCCUUAGCUGGAGGCCAACACUCACCCACCCCAAUUCCUCUCAUUCUGUGGAUCCUCUGGUCCCACUGGGGAGAAUGGACUACCUGGACCACAUGGAAAGCAGGUAAGUGAGGUAGAAGACCCUGGGACCUUGGGAGGUAGUCGCUGGGAAAUGUGGGUAGAGGCUGGGUGGUGACAGGUGGCACUGACAGGGAGAUGCCUGGUGUCUGUGCUGUCCCUGGAUGUGGUGUGUUGCAUGAGCACAUGGGUUUAUGAGUGUGUUGUGUCUCGGGCAUGUUGCUCCUGGGUUUUUGUGAGCAUGUUCUCACCAGGGCUGGUUACAUGUACUGGCCAAUCAGAAUGGACACUGGAGGAGGGGCUGGCCGGCUUCUCUGCUGGGUCAGGGAUUAACCUGGGCCACUGGGUGGGGCGUGGUUAAGGGGUUCUUCCCCAAGCAUCCAUGCUCCUCAGCAUUUUCACAACGGACACAGCUCCAUCUGUUCUGAACUCACACUCUGCUUCUGUGCCUGUGUGUGCAGUGUGUGCAUGCAGUGUGUGCAUGCAGGGUGUGCAUGUGUGUGUGUGUGGAGUAUGUGUGCAUGUGUAGCACAGGAAGGGGAAGAGUGGAGCCUGGCUGUUCAGGACCUCAAGUUUUCUCCCUUCCUGUCCCAUCUGCAGGGUCAGCUAAGAAUAGCCAUGACUCAAGGGUCAGCUAAGAAUAGUCAUGACUCAAGGGUCAUUUAGGACACAGGAAGAUACCAGAUGAGGAAACUCUCCCCAAGUCCUAAACUCAUUCACAAAUUAGAACACAUAGGUCCAGCCCAGGCACAGUGGCUGAAGCCUGGAAUCCUCCCGCUUCCUGCUUCGGGAGACCAAGGCAAGAGGAUCUCUCGAAGUGUGAGUUGGAGGCCAGCUUGGGCGACACAAUCAGGAAAAGCAAGUGGCCACCAGGUGGCGCCCAAGAACUGGGCCCGAGUUCCCUGGGAGGAAUCUGCACGCAGCCCUGGGAUGGCACAGGGAUGCCUCACGGGACACCUGGCCUCGUCCUGGUAGCCCCUUGCUUGCAUUUCCCGGCCCUGGGGUGUCCUCCCCGACUGCACAUGCAUGUAGAGACCAUUCCUCCUUCUCCAAAGAGGGAUUUGGAACAAUUCUCACAUGACCUGACGAGGGACAGUGGCUGUGCUCAGGGUCCCUCUUUUGUCCUCAGAGCAUGACCAGGCCUGUGGCUCUUGCUCAUUGCCCAAGAGCAUGGGAGGUUGCCCGUGGCAAGGCCCUGGAGGACCCUGCUGUGCUGCCUGGGACCAGGAGGCCCGGCUGCCUUCUCCCAGCACCUCUCCCAGUUAGGGUACUGUGCAGGAAAUGGGUGCAGAGGCCAUAGUGGUGGCUGCUCCUGGGGUCCCAGCAGCUCUAGCUGAGGCAGGAGGAACCAGGGAGCCCAGGAGGCUGAGGCCCCUGUCCUACUGCUCUGGUCGUGCUGCAGUCUCUGUCACCACCAACAACUGCAGUGAGGUGAGCCACUGGGCUGCAGGCUCUAGCCUCCAGCCUGUGACAGAUGCCUCCUCUUUCUGACUCCUCCUGUAGCAGGGCACGGAGAAGCUCUCGCUCAUCGCUGCCUCCUACCACUCCGAACAUGCUGCAGUCUCGUUGACCACGCUGCAGUCUUGGUGGCCACCACCAACUGCAGGGAGCCUGGCCAGGUGCCGCAAGUUGCAGCCUCCACCUCCUCCUCUAAGUCGGGCUUGGAGCAGCAGCGGGAGCAGUCACAGAAGAGGCUGGAAUGGUGGAAUGCACCCUCAGUAUGCAUUAUAUAUAGAGGUUUCGGCAAUGAGGGCCUGGACUUUGUGUUCUGAUUGGAUGGGGGAAACCUCUAGGCUUUAUCUUCAUGCCCUGAUUGGUUAUCCUAAGAGUUGCUCUCAUCCAGUCUUCUUUAUAAGUGGUCAUCUUUGUAAGUUCAUGCCCACUGGGAGUUACUGAAGUUGUGAAUGAUUACAUUUAAACUUAUCCUGUAAUUUUAGUCUGAUUUAUUAAUUCCACCUAUCUCCUUAAGCAAAUUAUUCUCUAUAGUGAUGACCCAAGCAAAUUCCUGUCCCAAGAUGGUAUCAAGAUGAUACCCAAGUUCCUCUCCAGAAUGGUAUCUGGAUAUAUGUGGAGGGAAAUAUUUUUUCUAGGCCUGUAUUAAAUAUGGCACUAAAGCUUAGUGGCUUAAAACAAUACACUGUUAUUAUCUCACAGCUUCUGUGAAUAAGUAGUUCAGGAGAGUGUAGCUGGGUGAUUCUUGCCAAGAGUCUCAUAAGGUUGCAGUCAAUCUGUUGGUGAGAAUUGUAGUUACUUGAAGACUUGGAGUUGAAGAAUUUAUAUCAAAGAUGGCUUACUUAUGGCAAUUGGAUGGAAGCCCCAGUUUCAGAAUGGCUGCUGGCAACAGGUCUUUUUACUUGCCACAUGGACCUCUCCAUAGGCUGACUGAAUGUCCUCCCAAUGUGUCAUCUGGCUUUCUCCAGUGCAAAAGAUCAAAGAAGAGAGUAUGAAGGAACCCGUAAUGCUCUUUAUAAUUUUGUCACAGACCGUCACUUCUGCCAUACUCUAUUGUUUAGAAGUUAGUCAUUAAGUCCAGCCCACACUCAAAAGAACGAGAAUUAACCUCCACCUUUGGAAGAGAGGCUAGUCAAAGCACUUGUGGACAUGUUUUGAAACCACAAAGGGGUAUGGCUGCCAGUCUCCAAGAUGGCCGCCAGUGAUUCUCAUCAGCUGUUAUUAAUACAUUUGUAUAGUCCCUUCCCACAAGAAAAAAGAGUUGAUCUGUUUAAUUAGUAUUAUUUUGUUGAAAUGACAGAGUCUGACUUGCAAGUUUAGGUCAUAAGAAGAAUUUUGACUUCUGCCUUAUUCUCUAUUGGAUCAAUAUCCCUAGGGGAAGCUAGAUGCAAUGUCAUGAAAUCAUUCAAACAGUCCCAUGGAACAAUCCAUCUAGCAAGGAACUGAUAUCUCCUAGCAAUAGCUGGCAUUAACUUACAAGUCGUAUGAGUGGGCCAUCUUAGAAUUGGAUUCUUCAGUCCAAAUCAAGUCUUCAGAUAACUGUAGCCCUGGCUGACAUCUUGAUUACAUCCUCAAGAGAGACCCUGAGCCAGAAUCACUCAGUUAAGCCACUGAGUUCUUUUUGCCAAAAACUUUUUUUUUACCAAGUUCUUUUUGCCACCAACUUUAUUGAGGUAUAAUUGACAAUUAAGAUUGUAUAUAUUUAAGGAAUACAACUUGAUGAUUUGAUAUACACAUACAUUGUGAAAUAAUCGUGAUAAUUAGGUUAACAUAUUCAUUACUUCACAUAAGUACCAUUUUCGUGUGUGUGUGUGUGUGUGUGUGUGUGUGUGUGUGUGUGUGUGGUGAGAACACAUGAGAUGUAUCCUCUUAGAAAAUUUCAAGUAUACAAUAUAUUAUUGUUAACUACAGUCAUAUUAUUGUAUACUAUGUCUCCAGAACUUAUUCACCUUGCGUAACUGAGAUGCUGUACCCUUGACCAAUGUCUCCCCCUUUUCUUCUCCCUCCAGCCCCUGGUAACUACCCUUCUACUUUCCAGUUCUAUACAUUUGACUCUUUUAGAUUCCACACAUAAGUCAAAUUUUUGACCCUUAGGAGCUGGGUGAAUAAUAAAUAUUUAUUGUUAUUUUCAGCCUUAUGAUUUUAAGUUAAUUUGUUAUGCAGUAAUAGAAGUUGCCACAUGAAGCUAUGACACUGGUUAACUCAUUUAUUCAGUAAACAUUUGCUAAGAGCAGACUAAGUGCCAGGAUCAAUUUUAUAAUUGGGGGUACAGGGUUAAGUCAAAAUGGCAGACUAGAAGCAGAUCAUGUGCACUGCUGUCAUGGAGAGGAAACAAAAUGGCUAGUGAACACUGAUCUUGCCAUGUGAUCCCCUAAGAAACCACAUCAGCAUCCAUGAAGGCAGCAAGGGGACACAGAGAGGAGAGAGGAGUGAAGCUGAGCAGCCCAUCUGUGAUCAGCAUGGAGCUAGAAGAAGCUCCCAAACAUAGGGAAAGAGUAAGUGAUUGAGAGCCCCUGGGGGAUUCACAGUCUUCACAGGGACCUGUGCAAGCCUUGGAACAGGAGAAUCUCUUUGACCCACUCCCUGCACCUCUAAGCCAAUGCAGAGAGCCACCCAGAGUUUUGUGGAGGCAACUCUCAAGUCCCUAGGGACUGCUGGAAGCCUUGGACCCUGGAACAGACCAGCACCAGUGCCAUAGCCCCAACAGAGGCUGCAGUCAUGGUACCCGAGGGCAGUAAGAUUGCUCCACCCCAAAUCACUAGACAAAGUUCAGCACCAGCCUCUGGCCCAAUGGUCCUGCUUCUGUUUUCACUUCACCAACAGGUUCAGCCUCCUGUUCCUCCAGGAAACACCCAAACAACAGGAUAGGCAACUUCACCCAAUCCCUGCCAGUUGUAGCCAGGCAGGCCAUACCUGCUAGAGCUUCCAGCCCCGUGGUACCACUUCUGUCUGAAUUCUGCUGACAAGCACAGUCUCUUGUUCUCCUAGGAAACACCUUAAUGGCAUGGUGAGUGACUCCACCCACUGCCACUGCUCAAGGCCAGCAGCCCACACCUGCUAGAGUUUCCAGCCCAACAGUCCUGCUUUUAUAUGAACUCUGCAGGUGGGGGCAACUCCAUGUUCCCCUGGGAAGCAGCUGGACAGCAGAUUAGGUGACCCCACUCAUCCCUGCAACUCCUAGCCAAGCAGUUCUUGCUGGCUUGGGUGGUGCCCAAGCAGUGGGGGAGUCCUCACUCUUGCAUCACUAAAAGAAGUGAGAUGCCCAAGUUCACAGGUCAGUGGAGGAGUGGGUUGUGCCUCCCUCUGUACAGCCAUUCCGGAAAGGAUAUGACCUGUUUGCCAACUGUGGCCCCUGCAUGAGGAAGCCCCAUGGACGAGAACACCUAAUAAAAGAAAUACAGGCAUGGAGUCAGUGAUCAGAGGGGGCUCUUCCAAGGCUUAGGGGUGGACAAGGUGAGGGGGUCAUCUCUACCCCACCCCCUAAAAAGCACUAUGCUAACUUGAGGAAAACACAAAAGAGCUGUGCAGCUGAGAAAAGCCUAUCUGCCUGUCCGCUGGCUAACACUUUUAAGUGCCACCUACUGGAUCACAGCAGAAAAUACAAUACAAAAAUAUUUUGCCAGUACACAGCACCUGUGAAAACUAAGGCAAAGAUUAAGCAACAAAUAAACAUUCUGUACAUACUCGUGACCCUCUGAAAACACCCUAAAAAGAAGCCAACUGACUGUACUCAACUUACAUCACAGUUAAAGGAACACUAACCCUUACACAUGAAAAAGAAUCGAUGCAAAAACUCUGGCAACUCAAAAAGCCAGUGUGCCCCCUUACCUACAAACAAACACACUAGUCCCCCAGAAAUGGUUCUUAGCCAGAUUGAGAUGACUGAAAUGAUGGAAAUAAAAUUCAAGAUCUGGAUGGCAAGGAAGAUCGAUGGGAUCAAAGAGAAAGUUGAAUCCAAGGAACCCAGUAAAACAAUCCAGGAGCUGAAGGAUUAAACAGCCAUUUUAAGAAAGAACCAGCUGGGUGUGAUGGCUCACGCCUGUAAUCCCAGCACUUUGGGAGGCCAAGGCGAGUGGACUACUUGAGGUUAGGAGUUUGAGACCAGCCUGGCCAACAUGAUGAAACCCUGUCUCUACUAAAAUACAAAAAUUAGCUGGGCGUGGUGGCACACAUCUGUAAUCUCAGCUACUUGGGAGGCUGAGGCAGGAGAAUCACUUGAACCCGGGAGGUGGAGGUUGCACAGGCUGGAGUGCAGUGGCACGAUCUCGGCUCACUGCAAGCUCUGCCUCCCAGGUUCCCACCAUUCUCCUGCCUCAGCCUCCCGAGUAGCUGGGACUACAGGUGCCCGCCACCACGCCCAGCAAAUUUUUUGUAUUUUUAGUAGAGACGGAGUUUCACCAUGUAAGCUAUGAUAGUCUCCAUCUCCCGACCUCGUGAUCCGCCUGCCUUGGCCUCCGAAAGUGCUGGGAUUACAGGUGUGAUGGCUCACGCCCAGCAUUUUUUUUUUUUUUUUUUGAGACAAAGUCUCGCUCUGUUGCCCAGGCUGGAGUGUAAUGGCACAAUCUCGGCUCACUGCAACCUCCCCCUCCCAGGUUCAAGCAAUUAUCCUGCCUCAGCCUCCUGAGUGGCUGGGAUUAUAGGCACCCACCACCAUGCCCAGCUAAUUGUUGUAAUUUUAGUAGAGAUGAGGUCUCACCAUCUUGGUUCGGCUGGUCUCAAACUCCUGACCUCAGGUGAUCCACCCACUUCAGCUUCCCAAAGUACUGGGAUUACAGGAGUGAGCCACCAUGCCCAGCCCCACAAAAAUUUUUAAAAAAGAAUUAAAAAGUGAAUAAAAUCUUUUGAGAAAUAUAGGACUAUGUAAAAAGACCAAACCUACAUUUCAUUGGCAUUCCCAAAAGAGAAGUAACUUGGAGAAUAUAUUUGAAGACAUAGUCCAUGAAAAAUUUCCCAAACUUGAUAGAGAGGGGAACAUACAAAUUCAAAAAAUACAGACAACCCUACAGAUACUACACAAGAUGACCAUCCCCAAGGCACAUAGUCAUCAGAUUCACCAAAGUCAAAGUAAAAGAAAGACAUCUUAAAGGCAGCUAGAGAGAAAGGUCAGGUCAUCUGUAAAGGGAACCCCAUCAGGCUAGCAGUAGACGUUGCAACAGAAACUUUACAAGACAGAGGAGAAUCAAGGUUUAUUUUCAGCAUUCUUAAAGAAAAUAAUUUCCAAGCAAGAAUAUUGUGUCCCACCAAACUAAGCUUCAUAAGUGAAGGAGAAAUAAAAUACUUUUCAGAUAAGCAAGUACUUAAAGGAGUGCUAAACAUGAAAACAAAGAACUGAAACAUGCUCCUUCAAAAACACACUCAAGGACAUAGCCUACAGAGAAUGUAAAGCCACCACACCACUAAGUCUACAAAAUAAACAGCCAACAACAUAAUGACAAGAUCAAAAUCUCAUAUAUCAAUACUAACCCAGAAUGUAAAUGGUCUAAAUGCCCGACUUAAAAGGGAUAGCAUGUCAAGUUGGACAAAAAGACAAGCCCCGAUAGUCUGCUGUCUUCAAGACACCCAUCUCUCGUGUGAAGAUACUCACACGUUCAAAGUAAAAGUAUAGAGUAGAUCUACCAAGCAAACAGAAAACAAAAAAGAGCAGGAGUCAUUAUUUUUAUAGCAGAUAAAACAGAUUUUAAACCAACAACAAUCAGGAAGGAUAAAGAAGAGCAGUACAUGAUGAUAAAAGGUUUAAUUCAACAAGAAGACCUGACCAUUCUAAACAUACACGUACCCAAUAUAGGAGCACCCAGAUUCAUAAAACAAAUUUUUCUUGACUAACAAAAAGACUUAGACAGUCACACAAUAAUAGUGGGGGACCUUAACACCCCACUGGCAGUGUUAGAUCAUCAAGGCUGAAAACUAACAAAGAAAAUCUGGGCUUAAACUCGACAUGUGACCAAUUGAACCUAAUAGAUAUCUACAGAG
rnacentral:lncRNA from 1 species